UACGUAGGGGGCAAGCGUUGUCCGGAAUCAUUGGGCGUAAAGCGCGUGUAGGCGGUUACGUAAGUCUGCUGUGAAAGUUGGAGGCUCAACCUUCGAAAGCCGGUGGAUACUGCGUGACUAGAGUACGGAAGAGGAGAGUGGAAUUCCUGGUGUAGCGGUGAAAUGCGCAGAUAUCAGGAGGAACACCAACGGCGAAGGCAGCUCUCUGGGACGUUACUGACGCUGAGACGCGAAAGCGUGGGGAGCAAACAGG
rnacentral:rRNA from 1 species